rnacentral:rRNA from 1 species
GGUGAACGCUGGCGGCGUGCCUAAUACAUGCAAGUCGAGCGAACGGACGAGAAGCUUGCUUCUCUGAUGUUAGCGGCGGACGGGUGAGUAACACGUGGAUAACCUACCUAUAAGACUGGGAUAACUUCGGGAAGCCGGAGCUAAUACCGGAUAAUAUUUUGAACCGCAUGGUUCAAAAGUGAAAGACGGUCUUGCUGUCACUUAUAGAUGGAUCCGCGCUGCAUUAGCUAGUUGGUAAGGUAACGGCUUACCAAGGCAACGAUGCAUAGCCGACCUGAGAGGGUGAUCGGCCACACUGGAACUGAGACACGGUCCAGACUCCUACGGGAGGCAGCAGUAGGGAAUCUUCCGCAAUGGGCGAAAGCCUGACGGAGCAACGCCGCGUGAGUGAUGAAGGUCUUCGGAUCGUAAAACUCUGUUAUUAGGGAAGAACAUAUGUGUAAGUAACUGUGCACAUCUUGACGGUACCUAAUCAGAAAGCCACGGCUAACUACGUG